CAGACAUACCUCUUACAGAAACAACUGUGAUAGGUACAGCUAUUACGGAGUCAGGCGUACCUGUGGUCGCCACAUGUCUUUCAUCAGCCCUACCCCUCACCUCAUUACCGAAUGGUGAAGAAGGCAGGGAUCAGGAAAAAGGCAGGGAGGACAAGAAUCCAAGAAUUGAAGAGGAGGGGGAGGAGGAGGAGAAGGGGAGAGUGAGGGAUGAGCAGAUGAGAAAGGACAGAGAGAUGGAGGCGAGCAGAGGGAGGAGAGGAGUGACGGGAAGGAGACAUGCAGCAACUGUAGAGGCCACUGCGUACAGAAUGGCAGGUCUGGGGCGCCCCCUACCUGGCUGGAAGAAGCGAGGUACAAAUUGGGGAGCUGAACAGGAAGGUGUUCUCAGGACCAUACUAAAGGAACUACACAGUGAUAAGGACAGACUGAUGGACACAGAGAAGGCAGAGGAAGAGGAAGAUGAGGAGGAAGAUGAAGAAGACGAUGAAGAGGAAGAUGAUUCUGAAGAGGAGGA